GCUGGAAAGCUUGGCGAUACAGGGUGAUAGCCCCGUAACCGACGCUUCAUCGAGCGUGAAAUCGAGUAGGGCGGGACACGUGAUAUCCUGUCUGAAUAUGGGGGGACCAUCCUCCAAGGCUAAAUACUCCUGACUGACCGAUAGUGAACCAGUACCGUGAGGGAAAGGCGAAAAGAACCCCUGUGAGGGGAGUGAAAUAGAACCUGAAACCGUGUACGUACAAGCAGUAGGAGCACCUUCGUGGUGUGACUGCGUACCUUUUGUAUAAUGGGUCAGCGACUUAUAUUCAGUGGCAAGGUUAACCGUAUAGGGGAGCCGUAGCGAAAGCGAGUCUUAACUGGGCGCUCAGUCUCUGGAUAUAGACCCGAAACCGGGUGAUCUAGCCAUGGGCAGGUUGAAGGUUGAGUAACAUCAACUGGAGGACCGAACCGACUAAUGUUGAAAAAUUAGCGGAUGACUUGUGGCUAGGGGUGAAAGGCCAAUCAAACUCGGAGAUAGCUGGUUCUCCCCGAAAGCUAUUUAGGUAGCGCCUCGGACGAAUACUACUGGGGGUAGAGCACUGUUAAGGCUAGGGGGUCAUCCCGACUUACCAACCCUUUGCAAACUCCGAAUACCAGUAAGUACUAUCCGGGAGACACACGGCGGGUGCUAACGUCCGUCGUGGAGAGGGAAACAACCCAGACCGCCAGCUAAGGUCCCAAAGUAUUGCUAAGUGGGAAACGAUGUGGGAAGGCUCAGACAGCUAGGAUGUUGGCUUAGAAGCAGCCAUCAUUUAAAGAAAGCGUAAUAGCUCACUAGUCGAGUCGGCCUGCGCGGAAGAUGUAACGGGGCUAAGCA
rnacentral:rRNA from 1 species